CCUACGGGAGGCAGCAGUUAGGAAUCUUGCGCAAUGGACGAAAGUCUGACGCAGCGACGCCGCGUGCAGGAUGAAGGCCCUCGGGUUGUAAACCGCUUUCAGCAGGGACGAAAUUGACGGUACCUGCAGAAGAAGCCCCGGCCAACUACGUGCCAGCAGCCGCGGUAAUA
rnacentral:rRNA from 1 species